rnacentral:misc_RNA from 1 species
GAUGAAGAACGUAGUGAAAUGCGAUAAGUAAUGUGAAUUGCAGAAUUCAGUGAAUCAUCGAAUCUUUGAACGCACAUUGCGCCCGCCAGCAUUCUGGCGGGCAUGCCUGUUCGAGCGUCAUUUCAACCCUCGAGCCCCCCCGGGGGCCUCGGUGUUGGGGGACGGCACACCAGCCGCCCCCGAAAUGCAGUGGCGACCCCGCCGCAGCCUCCCCUGCGUAGUAGCACACACCUCGCACCGGAGCGCGGAGGCGGUCACGCCGUAAAACGCCCAACUUUUUUAGAGUUGACCUCGGAUCAGGUAGGAAUACCCGCUGAACUUAAGCAUAUCAAUAAGCGGAGGA